AUGGUCGAGCCACAACCUCUCACAGACCAUGCAAGAAUGUCCAAACUCCAGCGACAGAAACUAACGUGCAAACCUGGCUGUGGCACCCCUGGUAGAAGCG
rnacentral:lncRNA from 1 species